AGGGGGGCUGAGAACGGACAGCAGGUAGAGAACAGAAGGUGGAAAUUUCAGGUGUUUUUCCAGGUAGAAUGGUUUUCAUUUAAAUACUCUAGCAAAGCCCAGGUAACAGCAGUAAGAGGAGCAGAAACAAACCAGGACAAGGGUGAUUCCCCGUGUUGGGUCCAAGGACAGACGGAUGACACCCAACAGGAAGGAGUGUGGUGGUCAGGCAGUCCCUCCCACGUCCUGGCAGAGAGGCCCCCGCUUUGCUGGUUAUGGAGGCAGGAGGGGACCUGGCAGGUGGCGCUGGGACGAGGGACAGGAGCCUGCAGAUGUCUCCCGAAACCCCGCCGUGGCCCCGCAUGGGAGGGCGGCCGAAGUAGCACCAGUGCACGGGCCCAGCUGAAGAGUCUGGGGACCCGCCCCCAAGUCCUGCACCAACGAGUGUACAGGGAAGACGUGGGCGGGGCCUGCCUCCUCUCUCUGCCAGCAGCUGGCUGUUGGGUCACAGUUUCUGUCCCCAGGGCUGCCUCCCACCUGUGGCCCUGCAGAGGCCAUGGGGGUGGGGUGAGGGGGCCACCACGGAGACCCCAGGAUCAGUCAGGACAGGGAAGCUGGCUCUGCCCUGGACCAAGAGAUGAGCGGAAGGGACUGCCCAUGAGAGCCUCACCUCCUCCCCCGAGUCCCUGUGGGGGGCCAGCUGCCUCCUGUGGGGAGGGGCUGAGGCCAGGCUGGUGGAGGCACCUCAGAGGACCCCCUGCCCCCAGCCUCCCUGGUGACCUAUGGGACAUUGUGGCCACCUGCCAACAGGUUCCCUUCUGGCACUUUUCUCCUUCUGGACCCUCUCCUUUUAGCAGUGGAGCAGAAGUUCAAUAGUGGACCACCUAACAGGUGGCCACAGGCAACCCCAAACCCCAGGCCCCCAAGGGAGGCUCCUGGGGUCCCCAGGGGAGGCCUGGAUAGAGCCAGACCUGUCGCUCCUCCCCCAGGACCUCACAGGGGGCGCAUUUGAAGACAAUCUGAGGUCGCUGCACCUGCAGGAGGGCCGGGAUUUCCUUCACUUCAGCUGACAGACCCAUGGCAGCUGCUCCCAGGAGGCCAAUGGCUUUUCCCUAAAGGCGACGCACGGCUGCUACGCCCGGGAGCCUGUCUCCUCGAUCCAAGAACAAAUCAUCGAUGUGCUGAAUCAUUAGUGCCGUCAGUGCUGGAGUUGAGUGGUGAUUCCCACUGAUGGGAGCCCCGCCCUAACGGUUCCCGUGAACAAGGCGAUAACUCCUGGGUCCGAGGAGGGUCGGGGGGUUGAACAAUCAGGAGUGGCCUCAUUGUGGAGUCACGUCUGAGUCAGAAUCCCCCGCCUUGGUGAUUUAAAAGCAUCGGGGUCUCUGCAUGCAGAGUCUUGGAAGACCCUUCCCAAAGCACACGAGGUGUUGGUCAGAGGCCAGAGGAUCAGUGUUCUGGCCACAGGACUCCAGGACCUUCUAAAAAUGCAUGUUUAUUUUUAUACUGUAUGCUACUAUUGUCCAUUAAAAAAAAAUUCUACGUGCUUUUAAAAAUCUACACAUUAGCCGUUAUUCUCUUUGUUACAUGGUCGUUGUUUAUCGUUUUCUCUGCCCAACAUUCUCUCUUGCACCUGCAUUCACCUGGGAGCCGGAAAAUGAUCCCUAAGCUUUAUCCACUAGAAUCUGCCCCCAGAAUCUGCCUGAAGAUAUUUCUGUCAUCACAACUGGGAAAGGGGUUUGCUACUGGCAUCUAGAUUGUUGCUAAACGUUCUGCAACACACAGGACGGUCCCCACAACUAAGAAUUAUUUGACCUCAAACGUCAACAGUGUCAAGAUUGGAAACCAGCAGUGGCAUUAAGGAGGUUUGUUUUAUCUGUAAUGACCUAUUUUGUUCUUCCCUGAAUGACAGCUGUAGUAGCUUCAGUCCAGCCGAGGCGAAUUGUUUUCUCUCAGCUUGAUGAGGAUCUCAUUCCAGUGUUAAGUCCACCGUUGCCGUCCAAGAGGGGCAGCGGCCCGGACCACCCAGUCUCCCAGCAGUUCUGAUGCAACGUGUCCAGACGUGAGCUUGUCCUGUUUGGGAUCUUGCUUCUAGCACCAAGUAUGUGGCACCGUCUCCCAAGACCCCAGGUGCACACAGGGCAGGUUCUCUGGUGUCUCUUGACUUUGUUUUCAUAUUUUCCAGUUAUUUUUCUGGAUAAAAUUCCUUCAGAUCUUCCAGUUCCCCAAUUCUCUCUUCAGCCAUGUCUAGGUGGUUGUUUAAUUCAUCCAUUGAGCCUUUUUCCCCCUAAUUUCCUCUUGAUAAUUUCUAACCCUUUUCAAAACUGAAUUCAUUUUAUAUUUUGUGUCUUUUGGGGUCUGAUUUUAUUAAGGUCUUGCUAAUGGUGCCUUGUUUCUUUGUGCAUUUUGUGCAAUUUGGGGAUGUGAGCUUAUGUUCUUCUCUCUGUGGGGCUCAGCCUGCAUCCUUCCAGAGAGGGUUUUGUUUGCCUUCUCUGCCCAGGUCUGCCAGCACUGCUGGUCGGGGCCCAGUGUGAUCGCAUUUCCCUCCACCAGCACCAGGCAGAGACGGAGACAGGUGUGCUCCUGUGGGGACCUACUUCUCACUCUCCUUGCUGCUGAGGGUACAGCUAUGUAGGGCCCCAGCUGUAUGUGGGGUCUGCUACUAGAUUUGGCACUGGGCCUUACGCUAUCGCACCCACACUUCCCAAGCAGCCUCCAGGGCUCAGCAGACAAGGAUCCUGGGAACACCAGGGACCUGCUCACUGGGACGGUUCACUCUAUGUCUGGGACACGGCCAUAUGCUCACGGCCGCACCGCUCCCCUCACAUAUCCUGUUCCAGGCACGAGGCUUCUUGCGGCUCUUCAGACCCACCCACCUCACUCCCACUGGGGCCACAGGUGCCCUUCUCUGCCCCUUUUGGGGGUGGGGGGUCUGCUGACCACUCCCUCUACCAGGUGGCAGACCAGCACUGUCCACCCACCCCGACUUGCUUCAGACCACACUGCUUUCCACCAUGUCCACCUCUGCUGUUGUCUGCUUCUGGCCACGUCGUCGGUCAUGACGGGGGACUCCCUACAAAUCCAUCACCUGGACCCAGGUGGGCUCCAAAUGAAGGAGGAGGUUCCCAGCCACCAGAUGCCUGAUGAGAGCAGGUGGUGACCAGUAGGAUUUGACAUGGCUGAAGGUGUGCAGGGGCGGCUGGACACUGCCGGCUUUGUUGGUUUUCCUUGGGUUGCAAAGUUAGACCAGCAAUGAAAGAAUUGCUUCAUGACGCAGUAUCAUCAACGUGCCAAGGUCUAGGUGCUGCUCUGUGGACCCCGUCUGCUGCAGGGAUACAAGUGGGGCCUACUGCGGCCACCCUGCAGGACAGCCUUCCAACCAGCGUGGCCUCCUGGCCAUCCAGGACCCCUCACCACGUGACAACGUCCACCAGCUACGGGGCCUCUGGCUAUUCUUCCAUUGAAAAUGGAAAACUCUCUAUUUAUUUUCAAGAGGAGACACGUUUUAAGGCUUAAAUGAAAUUAAAGUUAAAACCCCACGCAAGACUAACAUGGGCUUCCACUCUCAGGGAAGGUCAGCGAUCCUGGCACGUCCGGUGGCUCAACUGGAGCAGGAGAAACUCACCUAGCAAAGGCAGCAGGACAACACAUCUCAGGCUUGUACCAACACCACCUACCGUGGCCUCCAGCCGUGGACCCGCGGGCGCACACGUCCCAGAAGGGGCAGUCUGUCCCAUGGCCCAGGUGUAGGAGCACUGUCCUGGGCCCAUGGCCGGACGACUUCACCUCAGAUGUUCUACCUGCCCGUCCACAUCUGUCCUGCAGCCAGACCUCAACCUGCGAAGCAGCAGGUGGAAGGGUGGGGGUGGCCCGGGAACCUGCCACACAAAGGCUCCCGCAGUAGGCGGCCUGACCGCUCAGCACUGAGACUGGCCACGCAGGUGGCUCAAGUGGGGAACCUCUACACACAUCGGCCUCACUGGCCCCUGGACAGGCCAGCAUGAGUGCCAGCCCAUGUGGACAAAAGCGGCCUGUCUUUGUUUCAGAAACCCUGAGUGUGUACCCCAUUCUGGACAAAUGAAAAAAAGGUUCAGACAAUGUGGUUCUUCUCCCAUCACCAGAGAACCACUUCCUGGAGGCCACAGGUCGGCAGAUCUGUGAAGCCACUGACCGUGUCUUGCUUCCGUCGAGGGUCUGAGCUGCCGUCACAAGUCCCCUGUGUGGCUGGAACUGGUCCUGGCGGGAUUCUGAGAACACGGGUCGGCUCUUUCUGACUGAAUGAAACUGCACGAGGGCGGGCGACAUGCGUGCGACGGCCAUGAGCGCUGGGCACUAGAAUGGCGUGAGGAGGGAAGACGGCCCCCACCCGCGCUGCAAAAGCGACCCGGAGGCGCGCUCGACGGCACCCACCCCCACCCCGAGGCAUGGCGCCUUCUCUGCCCCUGCAGCAUCUGACAUGUAACGUGAGUCGCUCAGAGCUUGUCAGCGGCUACGAGCAAGCCCAACAAGGCCAUGGUGGACGUGGCGACAGGACAGCACACGGGAGGCUGCAGCGGGCCUGUCCCCUCUGGGGCCAUCCC